GAUGAACGCUGGCGGCGUGCUUAACACAUGCAAGUCGAACGGGAAACCUGUUAUUGACGCUUCUGCAGAUUUGGCUGGUUUCGAGUGGCGGACGGGUGAGUAACGCGUGGGUAACCUGCCUUAUACAGGGGGAUAACAGUCAGAAAUGGCUGCUAAUACCGCAUAAGCGCACAGAGCUGCAUAGCUCAGUUUGAAAAACUCCGGUGGUAUAAGAUGGACCCGCGUUGGAGUGGCUGGUUGGUGGGGUAACGGCCCACCAAGGCGACGAUCCAUAGCCGGCCUGAGAGGGUGCACGGCUACAUUGGGAAUGCGACCCAGACCCGAAUCCUACGGGACGAUGCAGUGGGGAAUACUGCACACUGGGGGCAAACCUGAUGCCGCCACGCGGGGUGAAGGAAGAAGUAGCUAGGUAUGUACACUUCGAUAAGAAGGGACGAUAAUGACGGUACCUGAAGAAGAAGCACCGGCUAACUACGUG
rnacentral:rRNA from 1 species